AUUGAACGCUGGCGGCAUGCUUUACACAUGCAAGUCGAACGGCAGCGCGGGCUUCGGCCUGGCGGCGAGUGGCGAACGGGUGAGUAAUACAUCGGAACGUGCCCAGUAGUGGGGGAUAGCUCGGCGAAAGCCGGAUUAAUACCGCAUACGACCUGAGGGUGAAAGCGGGGGAUCUUCGGACCUCGCGCUAUUGGAGCGGCCGAUGGCAGAUUAGCUAGUUGGUGGGGUAAAGGCCUACCAAGGCGACGAUCUGUAGCUGGUCUGAGAGGACGACCAGCCACACUGGGACUGAGACACGGCCCAGACUCCUACGGGAGGCAGCAGUGGGGAAUUUUGGACAAAGGGCGAAAGCCUGAUCCAGCAAUGCCGCGUGUGUGAUGAAGGCCUUCGGGUUGUAAAGCACUUUUGGCGGGAACGAAAAGGACUGUGCCGAUACCACGGUUCGAUGACGGUACCCGCAGAAUAAGCACCGGCUAACUACGUG
rnacentral:rRNA from 1 species